rnacentral:tRNA from 1 species
GGAGACGUGGCUGAGUGGUUGAAGGCGCCGCACUCGAAAUGCGGUAUACCGGAAACGGUAUCGGAGGUUCGAAUCCUCCCGUCUCCGCCA